GUUUUGGUUAGUAUUAUUGGUUCUCUUAAAAGAAUGAGCUCUUCGAGUCAUUGGUCCAGAAAAUCGUGGACUAUUGACCCUCUGUGGAACGCCAUCAGUGGCGGUGGAGUGGUGAUGGCUAUGAUGGUUGUUAUGAUGAUGACCCAUUUCGUAUUAAUUAACAAGAAUUUGAAUACAUUAACUAUAGUUGUACGUGGUAAUUGGUAUAGAUUGGUCAGGAUCCAGAUGGGUGAAGUGAUAUUAUUGAAGAUGAUUAGGCAUUAAUG
rnacentral:misc_RNA from 1 species